rnacentral:lncRNA from 1 species
ACUAGCACAAGCAUCUGAUCUCUCCAAUUGUCCAGAUGAACCUGUCCAGAAGUUGCCAAACCACAUAGUACAACCUUUUAAAUUAAUGUCAUAUUUGCAGAGACUUGGGCAGAAACAUAAAGAAUGUAAUUAAGCUGUCAGUAAACAACAACUCUACCAUUCUAUUCUUGCAACUGUCCUUCCAAAUUCCGUCCAGCCUUUAACGGUCUGAUAUGAUUAGCUUGCAGAUCCAGAGACGUCUGCAAAUUCUUCUACAGCAACAUCAUCUAGCUAGGUCCUGCAGUACAAGGUUAUGCAUUUGCUUGGUUAAAGUAAGCAUAAUCAAACCACAUACAUUUUGGAACUCAGAGCUACUAUUUGUAUCAUCAAGCAGAGGACUAAAUUAAAAUUUCUUUUAAAAUCAUAUCUUGUGUAGAAUAUUUAGUCUAUCAAACUUUCUCAAAGUAUAGUAAAAUAUUGUUUGAUUUUCCAUGAUAAUCAUAUAGGUGCUGAUUAUGGAAUUCAAUAUAUAUGAAAUUAAAGUUAGGAUCUAAAGUAUCCAUAUGGAUCAGGAGAAUGCGAAGAAAGUUAUUUAACAUUGGCAUUAUGAUAAUGGACUGAGAAUGAAGCAGUCAAAAAAUGAGGGGAAGAGACUGAAACCCUUUUUCGAGACUAUUUUGUUUCUUUUAUCUAAUAUUUACAAUGAGUCAAAUGAAGCUUUGGUUGGCCCUAGGUUAUUUAGUCCUGUUGUUCCUUGAAAUUUCUUAUAAGUUCUAACCUUUCCCCAUGGUUUUCUAGCUUGCAUAUUCUUUCAGCAUUGCUUCUUGGAUUUGCGAGACUUGCAGUUGGGAGAUCAAAGAGAGGUGAAGAUCAUUGUACUGUUUGGUUGGUAAUCUUUACUUGUAGGGCUCAAGUUGUAACCUAUAUUCUGACGCGGCACAAUCUGCAGAAACCUAUUCAGGCACCUAGUUUU